CGACGCUGGCGGCGUGCCUAAUACAUGCAAGUCGAACGAACGGAUAAAGAGCUUGCUCUUUUGAAGUUAGUGGCGGACGGGUGAGUAACACGUGGGUAACCUGCCUCACAAGCUGGGGAUAAACAUCGAGAAAUCGAUGCUAAUACCGAAUGUGCUGAACAUCAUAAGAUGUUCAAGUGAAAGACGGUUUCGGCUGUCACUGUGAGAUGGACCCGCGCUGGAUUAGCUAGUUGGUAAGGUAAUGGCUUACCAAGGCGACGAUCCAUAGCCGACCUGAGAGGGUGAUCGGCCACAUUGGGACUGAGACACGGCCCCAAACUCCUACGGGAGGCAGCAGUAGGGAAUCUUCGGCAAUGGACGAAAGUCUGACCGAGCAACGCCGCGUGAGCGAAGAAGGCCUUCGGGUCGUAAAGCUCUGUUGUUAGAGAAGAACAUGGGUGAGAGUAACUGUUCACCCCUUGACGGUAUCUAACCAGAAAGCCACGGCUAACUACGUGCCAGCAGCCGCGGUAA
rnacentral:rRNA from 1 species